rnacentral:tRNA from 3 species
GUACCUUUAGCUCAGUUGGUUAGAGCCAAUCGCUCAUAACGGUUAGGCCACAGGUUCGAGUCCUGUAUGGUCCA